CGGGGUGAGUAACGCGUGAGAAUCUUCCCUUCAAUGAAGAAUACCUUUGAGAAAUCGAAGUUAAUACUGCAUACGUCUCGAAAGAGAGAAAGAUGGCCUAAUUGCUGUCGUUGAAGGAUGAGCUUGCGUUCUAUUAGCUAGUUGGUGAGGUAAUGGCUCACCAAGGCGAUGAUGGAUAGCCGGCCUGAGAGGGCGAACGGCCACAUUGGAACUUAGAUACGGUCCAA
rnacentral:rRNA from 1 species